rnacentral:rRNA from 1 species
UACGAAGGGGGCUAGCGUUGCUCGGAAUCACUGGGCGUAAAGCGCACGUAGGCGGCUUCUUAAGUCAGGGGUGAAAUCCUGGAGCUCAACUCCAGAACUGCCUUUGAUACUGAGGAGCUCGAGUCCGGAAGAGGUGAGUGGAACUGCGAGUGUAGAGGUGAAAUUCGUAGAUAUUCGCAAGAACACCAGUGGCGAAGGCGGCUCACUGGUCCGGUACUGACGCUGAGGUGCGAAUGCGUGGGGAGCAAACAGG